rnacentral:ncRNA from 2 species
AUCAUAAUUUGAAUAUGUCGUCGUAUAACGUUGGGAAUAAGGCCCAAAAGUCUCUACCGAAUCACCGUAAAUGAUUCGACUACGAUUAGUUUGAAAGUGUAA